GACGAACGCUGGCGGCGUGCUUAACACAUGCAAGUCGAACGGUGAACGAGGGAGCUUGCUCCCUCCGGAUCAGUGGCGAACGGGUGAGUAACACGUGAGCAAUCUGCCCCGAACUCUGGGAUAAGCGUUGGGAACGACGUCUAAUACCGGAUACGACGCGGGAGGGCAUCCUCUCCGCGUGGAAAGAACUUCGGUUCGGGAUGAGCUCGCGGCCUAUCAGCUUGUUGGUGAGGUAACGGCUCACCAAGGCGACGACGGGUAGCCGGCCUGAGAGGGUGACCGGCCACACUGGGACUGAGACACGGCCCAGACUCCUACGGGAGGCAGCAGUGGGGAAUAUUGCACAAUGGGCGCAAGCCUGAUGCAGCAACGCCGCGUGAGGGACGACGGCCUUCGGGUUGUAAACCUCUUUUAGCAGGGAAGAAGCGAAAGUGACGGUACCUGCAGAAAAAGCACCGGCUAACUACGUG
rnacentral:rRNA from 1 species